AUAUAUAUGUUUGUAUGAAAAAUUGAUAUAGAAUCAUUUAUUAUAAGAUAAAGUUGUCAAAAUCCAACUCUAAUUUCAAUGAUCAAACACUUGCUUUAUUAGCCUCCUUACAAAUAAAUAGAUACAAGUUCCUAGAGCUGUUUGAUAAUGGAGCUUUUUUUAAACUACUAGCUUAAUACGUUAGAUUGAUCUGUGAUUCCAAUGUUUCAGCAAAAUAAACAUUAUUUUUUGGAAUCAGCUGGAAUUUUUGUAAAGUAAAUGAAGCUGAAAAUAUAUUUAAAAUGAUGCUUUUAUGUACAAACCAUAUAAAAAACAAUAAAUUAUUAGUAUGUAAAUAUUAAAAUCAUUAUUGAUUAUAUAAUUUAUUUAAUUUACCAUAAAUCAGAAUCGUAUAAAAAUCCAAUCAAUUCGUGUUUGUCUAUUCAGUACUUCCUAAUUAACUAUGAAUUUUGUUUUAAAUCAUACAUGUAACUUUAUAGCUUCUAGUAAUUUAAUUUUUAAAAGUAAUUUUUUUAACAUAUCCAAUAAAAUUUAUCUUAAAAUGACUUUUAAACAAACAUAAAAAACAUAAAACAAUUAACUUAAAUUUGAUUAUAAUUGACUAUACAUGUAAUUGAUUAUUAAAUAUAUUAUUUUUGCAGCUAAAGUUCUUCUAAUUUUAGGAAAUCGUGUACCAAUUGGGCAAAGAAAGAUAACACAAAGAUUUGAUAAUAAUCAUGAAAUAUAAGAUGGUUUGAAGCCUUAUCUUUCAACUAAUUACUGAAAAGAAAGUUGUGGUAUAACAAACAAAAUAAAAUAUUAAUCACAUGUGUGAAAUCUACAAAAUGUGUAAAAUGUAUCAUGAUAGCUUUGAUCUUAAUACGAAUAUUUAGAUAAGGUAUACUUAUGUCUUUUCUCAUCAAUGGACACAAUAAUGAAUUUUAUCAAAGUUAAACUAAUAUGACAUUUUAUGUUAGUAUCUAUCCUACUUAGUUUUUUUUGUAAUACUAAAGAUAUUUCUUCACCUUUUUAGUUAAGGAAUUAAUCAUUUAUGGGGGUGUAUGACUCUCCAUCCUAAUAAGUAUCGUUCUCAGAAAUCAAAUCUUUAACUUUUUGAGAUCUAACGAAAACGUACACUACUACACCAACAACUUUUAGUGUACCCAACAUAAUAUAUCAAAUCAUUAAUAAGUUAAUAACAUCACAUGCUUCAAGCCUUCAACGAUUUAGAAUGUUUGUAAAGGUAUAAGACCCAAAAAAAUUCUUAAACUUAAACCUAUCCUCAUUUAGGACAAAGGAUCUCACUCACAUCUGCAUCAUUUAUUUUAUUUAAUUUUAAUUCGUUAUUCAUUAAUACAUUAUUAAAAGUGAUGAUUUGAUUGCAAUUAUUAAUUCUGAAUUAUCUAAUAAUUUGUCAUUCAUGCAUAUCAAAAUCAUAUUCAUUUAUCACCUAAUAAUCACCUAAAAGACUAGUAAGAACAUCUUAAAUAAAUCCCAAGAUAGAACUUUUCCUCAAAAUACAAAAUUAUAACCAAAUCCAAGAUGCAACUCCAAUUCAAUAAACUCAUUAAAGGGAUAACAACCAUAAAUAAGCAUCUCCAACAUGAUGAAGUCCUUCCGGCCACUACUCUUGUUGAUCUUCUUCUAGAAGGUUUCUUCGUCUCAUCAUGCGUAGAGUUUAAAUAUUUCUCUUAGUUUUGUUUGUUUCUCUGUUAGGAGAAUUUGCAUUAUUGCUUGGUGUCAUAUAGAUACAGAUUAUAGCUUUGUUAGGUAUACAUAUAUGCACAAGUUGUUUAAGAGAUAGUACUAUAAGAGAAAAAAAUAUAUAGAGUGACUCUGUAUGAAUUUCAUACAUUUUUACUGCAUCAUUUAUCAUUUAUGUUUAAUCAUUAUUUACUAUUAAAAAACCUAAUAUAAAUGAAUGACGAAUGAUAUACUGACUGUAUAUAAAUUUAUAUAAAUAAAUAUUAAUUGUUAAUAUAAAGCAUACAAGACUAGAAUAGUUAAUAAAUAGGUUAGUUGUUCAUUUUGUUUGGAAUCUCAUGUAUGGUAGGAGAUCAAACCUACAAAACUGGAACAAUUCAUGAAUAGGUUAGUUAUAUUCACACUUCUUUCCAUAUUUGUUUGGGUGGCAUUGAUAUUUCUUUUAAUUUAAUUUUUUACUUUCUUUCCUUUAUCUUAGCACUAGGUAGAAAGAGUGUUUUUGGGAAUCUCAUUUGAGAAUGUGAGAUUCUAUAUUUGUUCCAAGGUUUGGAAAAAAUAUUGAAGAAAGUAACAUCCUAAAAAUCUUAAAAUGUGAAGGAUGUGAGAAUGGAGUGUUAGAUUCCCAUUGAUGGGAAUGCUGGUUUUUCAUAGAAAUGUCUAUUUAAAAGUAAAAUGACUUUUGUAUUCUUUUUCUACCUUCUUGUUUUUUAGUCAAUGUAUUUUUCAAAAAUAAUUCAUUUUCUAGUAAUGUUUUAUAUGAAUAAAAAAUUGAUCUAACAAGAGAAUGUAACUUAAUUAGGCAUUUGUAACCGUACUGUUACUAUAGACACAAAAAGAUAGAAAAAAUGAACACGGCUUAGAACGAGAGUAACAACUUCUGCACUAUUAUUUAUUAUUAAGGACUCUAUUACAUACUACUAGAUCCAGAGUACAACAAAAUACUUACAAUAAGGAAAAGAUGUAAAUUUGUAGCAUAGAAGGAAGGAGAUGAGAGAAGAAUAUUGAGAAUAGAAGGGAGAUGAGUAGUAUACAAUUCACGCCCAAUUUCCUAUUUCUUUUCUCCUUAUAUUCUUUUUACCUGUCACUGUCUUUACACAAAUUCCUUCAGUAGGGAAUUUGGUUUCUUUUCAUGUGAGUUGUGCUUGUUAAAUGUAAUACAUAAGAGAAUUAAUAGUGUUUACUGAAGCAAAUGUUGUUAAAGGUGUUAUCUUUAACGACGUUUAUUGAAACAAGCACUGUUAAAGGGCAUACUUCAUAUAUUUAACAACACUUUUUCAAUAAGAGUGGUUAAAUGUGUUAUCUUUAACAACGCUUGUUGAAGGAAACGUUGUUAAAGGCAGACUUCAUAUAUUUAACAAUACUUCUUCAAUAAGCGCUGUUAAAUGUGUUCAUAUAUUUAACAUCACUUCUUCGAUAAAUGUUGUUAAUGACUUAUUUUAGUGAGCGAUAAUCUUUUCAAAUUCAAAAACAAAACCUCACACAAUAAUACAUAUCACCUAGUUUAUUAUUUCUCUUACUUUUCUUCUUCUCCACGAGUUACAUUUUUUUUCUUAUGUUUUUAGUUUCUCUCUUCAAUCAAGUUAUUGAUUUUUGGUUUUUCUCUUCAAGCAUAAGGUAAAUCGUUAUCUUAUUUUAACUCAUUUAUUUCUAUCUUCACUAAUAGUGUGAUUUUUAUUUGUUGUGAAGUUAUGCAGCUAUGGUGAAGUUAUCGGUUUUUGGUUUUUCUCUUCAAACAUAAGGUAAAUCGUUAUCUUAUUUUAGCUCAUUUAUUUCUCUAUUUACUAAUAGUGUGAUCUUUAUUUGUUGUGAAGUUAUACAACUAUGGUGUUCUAGGUUUUUGGCUAUGGUGAACAUUGGAGGAGAAUGAAUGAACAAUUUGUGUAAGAUCUCAUUACUCCUAUGUUAUUUUAUAAUAUUGGAAUAUGUUAAAGUUGAAUGUAGUUGAAGUCGUUGGUGAUUUAACAAAUCUAUUGUAAAUGUGGUAGAAUUGGACAUGUUUGUCAUGUGUUUGAUAGAAUGUCUGAGAGAGAUAUUGUCUUAUUUAGAAAGUAGACAUUUAACAACGCUUGCUUCAGUGAAUGCUGUUAAAUGUCUACUUUCUACAGCGCUACAAAAAAAGUUGUUGAAUAUAACCUUGUGUACUACUGUGCUUAUGUAGAAAGCGCGGUUAAAUAACAAUUUUAAGCGUUAUUGUUUUGAUGUUUUGGCGUAGUGAUUUGUCCAUUAGCUCUAACAACUUUUGUCUUUUUCUUCUUUUAGUAGUAUUCUCCCUCCUCACAUGUUGCAUUACUCCCCCCAUCAGAAACAACCUUAUCCUCAAGGUUGAAUGUAGGAUAUUGAUAAACAAUAGUAUCAAAAUCUUCUCAAGUUGCUUCAACAAUAUCAUGUCCUUCCCAUUGAAUUAACACUAGCAACAUAAUUUGAUCUCCUUUAAUAAUAGUUGUUUGUUUCAAAACAUGAAUAUUUUGUAGUUGUGGCCCUUGAUUGUCCAUGAGUAGGGGCAAAGGAUGUAUGCCAUUGGUUCACCUCCUUUAAAAGUUUUCAAUUGGGACACGUGGAAUACAAAAUGGAUUCAGGCAUUUUCAGGGAGUUGUAAUUUGUACGCGACUGACGCAAUCCUUUCUAAUAUUGGAAAAAGACCAAAAUACUUCAUGCCAAGUUUCUGAUUCUUCCUUAGGCUUACUGAAUGUCGUCUAUAAGAUUGUAGCUUCACCCAAACCUUUUGUCCAACACUGAAAUUAAUGUCUCGCCUUUGUUUGUCAGCUUGCAUCUUCAUGCAUUGUUGAGCUUGUUGUAGAUUAGCCUUUAAUUGAGUCAACAACAUGUCCCUUUCAAGUAAAGUAGCUUGAAUAGUUGGGCUGUCAGAGCUAGUGGGAUAAUAUUUAGUUAAAGUGGGUGGUUCUCUGCCAUACACUGCCUGAAAGGGUGUCAUGCCUAAGGGUGGAAAUAGGUCAGGCCAGAUUUUGCCUUAAACAGGCCGAGCUUAUAUAACAUAUAAGAGUCUGGGUCUAGCCUAUUUAAAAAAAAUCGAGGUCUAAACCUAGUUUGUUUACAAGUCUGGUCUAGUCUAUUAGACUAUUUAAAGGUUUGUUCCAGAUUUUCCACUUGCACCAACUUCAUUAUUUUCACUUUCCAUGAUAAAUUUUAAAUAAAAAUAAUUCAUUUAUUAUCUACACAUUCAUUCACUUUGCUUUAAUCCAUGUUGAUAUUGCAGUGAUAUUAGUACAUUACCAUAAUACCAACUUUAACUUUCUAAACCAUCAAUUCCAUACAAAAUUCAUUUGCAUAAUGAAAAGAUUGGUAUUGUAAAUAGAAAAUUAGAACAUUAUUAAACUUCAAUAUGUUUUUGAACCAUCUUAACAGAGUUCUUAACAUAAACAAAACAAAUAUGUUUGUUGCAACAUAAAAUAAACAAUCAUUUAAAGAGUUCAUUUGAAAAACUAAGAAUGACAAGUAAAUAAAACAGUUAGUUGUGCAGAAUGAGUAACUCCACAAGAAAAUUGAGGUUGCACACAAUGUUUGCACUUCUGUAGAAUCAAGGACCUCAUGAAAAAUUCCAACAAACGAGUUAAAAUCUUCAAGUAAAUUUCCUUUUGAUCUUCUUCAACCUCAUGUUCCUUCAAAAUAAAAAUAAAAUAUAUUAAAGAAGAUAAUAGUUUAAAACCAACUAAAAUAACAAACUUAAAAAUAUUGAUGUUUUACCUUUUCUUUUUUCUUCACAAGAUACUUAAUACGAAGCCAAUCCCCAGCGCAUAUUAGUGCUUCAAUAGAUUCUUCAUUCAAUUUUGAACGAUAUUCAUCAAUUACUCUUCCUCCAGCGCUAAAUGUGGAUUCAGAUGCUACUGUAGAGAUUGGAAUAGCAAGUAUAUCUGCAGCAAUUUUUGAUAAGACCUUAUACUUCAUGGAGUUGCUCCUCCACUACUCCAAUGCACUAAAAGAAUUAUCACCAUAUUCACUAGUAGGUAUAAAAACAGGUUCGUCAAGAUACGCAUCCAAUUCAUAUUUCAUUGGGGGAUUGCUUCAUUUUCUCGCACAAUACUUUUUCAAUGUUGAAAUCUAGUAUGCACAACUAAUUUUGGCAUUUGCGACGAUGAAGGAUUUGUAGCUGUGUUGUUAUUAUCUUCAUUAGAAGAAGUCACUUUCAAAGAGUACUAACGAAAUAAUUCUUGCAAUGAAGUGCGUACCUUAUUCAUAUUCAUUAUGGAAACUUCUUCAGUCUUUAAUAUUAAGGGGAAGCAUACAUUGAUCAUAUGGAAUUUGCACCUAGGAUCAAGAACACUUACAAUGACCAUUAAGAGAUUGCAUUCCCCUCAAUAUCUGUCAAACUUUAUCUUCAUUGGUGCAACUAUUUCUCCCAUAAAGUGAUUUUCAUCAUCUGAUGCUUUAUCAAUUACAUUUUUUACCCUUGCAACUUCGGCAAGAUACAAGUUUGCAGUAGGAUAUUCACUACUAGAAAUCACAUGAGUGGCAAGAUUAAACACAUGAAGAAGUCGACAAACUUUUUCACCUUUCUCCUAGUCCUCAUUUGAAGGUGCAUAACUAUAAUGAGGCUCUUUGUCUUUGUAAGAUGCAAAGACUGUCUUAAACUUUAGAGCACAUGAUAGCAUAUCAAAUGUAGAAUUCCAUCUAGUGGGACAAUCAAUGACAAGCUUCAUUUCUUUCAAAUGCUUUUGUUCAACCACAUCACAAUUUUUUUUAACCUCGAGUCAUUGUGGUUGAUAUACUUCACACUUUUUUGAAUAUUAUAAAUGACAUCAUAGAUCUCCUUAAGGCCAUCUUGCACCAAUAAAUUCAAUAUGUGCGCACAACAUCUAACAUGAAACAAGGCACCAUCAAGAACUAACCUUGAGUCACAUGAUAGAUUCUCUUUGAGGGUCUUCAAGCACGAGUCAUUAUAACUAGCAUUAUCUACCGAAAUUGAAAACACAUUUUUAUCAAUCCUCAAUGAUUUUUAACACUUGAAAAUAACAUCAGCAACAUCAACCCCACGCCUAGGAGCAGACACUUUUACAAAACUCAAAACUCUUUUUUGAAGCUUUCACUCUGUAUCAAUGAAGUGACAAGUGAUGACCAUGUACUCAACAACUUGAUGAUUGAUUUGACUUCCACAUAUCUAUAGUCAAACUAAUUUUUCCUACACUUCUCAACAAUGCCUUCAAGUAUUUCUUCUCUGCUUCAUAUAUUGUUAUGCAAUCCUUUCUUAUUGUUUUAAGGGACAUCUUCUGAAACCCUGGAAUUUCAUAUUGGAAUGCUCACAUCAUACCUUGAGCAUCAACUAUAUUAGAAGGAAGUUCAUGCAUCAUAACCGCAGUAGCAAGUGCUUCACGCAUCUUCUCGUUAAAGUAUCUAGCUCUAGGAGUCAUAAAUGGAUUAGCUGAAUUAGGUCGGAAUAGAAUAACUGGUUGCUUUUUUGAGUAGCCAAUUGCAUCCUUUUUGGUUGGCAAGUUUCCAUAUGUCACAGCAGGUGGCCGAUGUUCCAACCCUUUCCAGUAAUACUUAGUUUCUCUUUGCAGAAUUUGCAUUGAGCUUUCUGAAUGCCUCUAGGAAAUUCAACUUCAUCAAAAUCAUUCCAAGUUGGUGAUGUUUUAGUCCUCUUCCUCUUGCUCUUAAUGGGACAAUCCACUUGGUCACUUGAAUUGACUGAAGCAUUUUCGGCCAUAUGUUGUUGUGAAUUUGAAGUUCCUGUUGUAGUUUUAGUAACAAUGGUAGGAGUAGAUGAAUUUGUACCCUCAAGUGGAUUAGACAUGUUUUACCUAUAAAAAUAUUAAAGGUUUAGCAAAUAGAAAAUUAGAAAUUAAAGUAUAUAGUACAUCAUACUUGUAUGUCACAUAUGUCAGUUUUGGAUUAUCCUUAUAUUCUACUAGAAGGAUAUUUUUAAUUUAUAGUUAACUUAUUAUUAAUUUGAUGAUAUAAGAAAAAAAUUAAACGCAAAAUAGUUUGAUGAUAUAAGGGGGAAAAUUGAAGAUCUCUAAACACAGAUAUUAGGUGUAACAAAUUAAAUAAAUAAGGCAUAUAAGAGGCACAAAGAUCAUAUAAUAAUCAUGAUAGCUCCAAUCUUAUAAAGCACAAAGAUCAUAUAGUAAUAACCAAGAAGUACCCCACAAGCUAUUAGCUAAAUAACGUUAACCAUAUACAUCUCAAAGUGGAGAAUGACCUUCAAACACUAAAAGAGCAUUUUGACAAAAUGUAUCAUAUUACAGUAUUGAAAUAUGCUCUUCAGGACAAGUAAAAGUUGCACCCUAAGCCUUAUAAUAUCAUAUAAGCCUAAUUGCAUCAAAUAAUUCAUGCUAGUGAAGGUGUGUAUCAACAUUAAUCUACAUUGACUCGUCAAUUUUAAUGUUUAAUGUAAAAGUAACAUAUUUAGGUCCGAGUUGAGUAAUAGUAAUUGCAAGUUACAGAACACAAAAAUACCAAGCUCAAAUGAUAAACGUAUAAGAUUAGAUGGUUCAUUAAUUGAAGAACUAGCUAUUGCCCAUAGAUAUACUUUUAUCCUCAGAAGCAGAAACUUGAAUAUUAAAAAAGUAACUCACAUCUUCAAUAUGGUGACACAACAAAAUGUAAAAUAUGAGAAGAAGCUAUGACACAUAAUUAUAUGAAGCAUCGGAUAAGGUAGAGAAAUUAUCGAAAUGUGGUUCUAUCUUCUAUGCUUUCAGAUGAGAAGAUGACAAUAAGAUUUUGAAUGUGAGGCAAGGUAGAUUAGGAUUAUUUUGGGACUUUCAUUUUAGGGUUAAUGUUCCUGCAAUUUCAAGUUAUAACUUAGUGAACUAAAAUUACAUAAUUUUAUGGGUAGGGUUAUGUACUUAAGCCCAAGUCUCAAAGAUUGAAUGUCCAAUUAUUAAAUUGCCCAAUAUCUAAGUUUUAGUGGAUUUACAUAAAAAAAUUAUUAUUAUUUUGUACAUAUUAUAAAAUAAUUAAUAUAAAUAUAUUAUAACAUUAUAUAGGCUGAUUUGUUAGGCUUAAUAGGCUUUUUAAAAAGUUUGGGUCUGACCUAUUUAGGUUAAAUAGGCUUUUGGAGAAGCCUAAGCCGGACCUAUUUACUAAAAAGGCUUGACUUGGCUAUAGGUUAGGUACUAGGCCCCUAAUAGACGGCCUGACUGUUUUCACCCUUAGUCAUACCCAAGCUAUGAUGUUAAGAAGUAUUUUAUCAAUACUCUGCCCAUGGUAAUGUAGAAACCCAUGUCUUGAAAUGUGAAGCACCACAAGUACAUUUCCAGACAUUUGUUAAGCACCUUCAUUUGGCCAUCAAAUUGUGGAUGAUAGGUGGAGCUCAUUGCUAAUGUGGUGCCUUGCAGCUUGAACAAUUUUUGCAAGAACUUACUAAUGGAAACUUUAUCUCUAUGAGACACAAUAGAAUUUGGCAUACCAUAUAAUAUGACUAUAGAGUCCAUGAAGAUUUCAGUAACUUGCAUGCUUGUAUAAUCAGAUUUUAGUGGGUGGAAAUGGCCAUACUUUGAUAAUAUGUCAAUCACCACAAAAAUCAUCAUGUAACCUCUUGAUGAAGGCAAUCCCAUUAUAAAGUCCAUUGCUAUCUUACCAAAUUUGAUUAAGAAUGGGCAUUGGUUGUAAUAGCCCACUAGGAUGUGAUGUCAAGUGUUUUGCUUGCUAUCAAAUGCUGCAAUUUUGGACGAAGUGUUGAAUAUCUUGCUUCAUAUUAGGCCAAUAAAAUUUAGAUUUAACUCGAGAAGUGGUUCUAGCAAUUCCCAAGUGUCCACCAAUGGGAGAGUUGUGAUACUCCUUCAAUAUUUUUUGUGUGAGCUCAGGCUUUGAUGAGAUGACUAAUUUGCCUUUCCAAUAAAGCAAUUGGUCCCUGUAUGUAAAAGGAUCCAUAAGUUGUGGAUUGUGUUUGCAUUUUUUCAAUUGUUGUGCCCAUUUGUCAUAUGCAUAUAAGCUUGCCUUAGUUCUUGUAAAAACAACGGUAUUGGGGAAUACUAAGGCAUGUAACAAGACCGAGACAGAGAAUCGGGAUGAAUGUUUUCUUUUCCUGGUUUAUAUUCAAUUUUGAAGUCAUAUCCCGGAAAUUUGUGAAGCCAGUUUUGUUGCUCUGGAGUUUGAAUAGUUUGAUCAGUCAAAUGUCUUAAACUUUUUUUUUUGUCUUAAUAAUAAAAUGAUGGCCUAAUAGAUAAUGUCUGAAUUUAGCCAAGGCUUCUGUAAUAGCAUACAACUCUCUGCAAUAUGCUGACUAUUUCUACAUUCUCGGAUUUAACUUCUUGGAAAAAUAAGCAAUAGGGUGCUUGUUUUGGCUCAAAACUGCCCCCAUACCAGUCACUGAAGCAUCUGUUUCCAGUGUGAAUGGUUACUGAAAAUUUGGCAAUGCUAAAACUGGUGCAGUUGUUACCACAUGUUUUAAAGCAUUGAAGGCAAUUUGUGUUUCUACAGUCCAUGCAAAAGCAUCUUUCUUCAGUAAAUUAGUCAAAGGAUUAGCUACAGAGACAUAAUUUUGGAUGAAUUUCCUAUAAUAGCCUGUCAUGCCCAAAAAUCCUCUAAGUUUUUUGAUGUUAAAGGGUUCUGGCCACUGUAAUAUAGCUUGCACUUUAACCAUAUCCAUAGCCACACCUUGGUUAGAAACUGUGUGGCCCAAAUAAUCUAGUUGGUGUGUGCCAAAAGAACAUUUUGCUAAUAUUACAUACAAAAUAUUGGACUGCAGUGUAUGCCAAACUGCUUCUACAUAUUGCAAAUGAGAUGACCAGCUUGGGUAUAGACCAAUAUGUUAUCAAAAAAUAUCAGGACACAUUUCCUUACCAAUCUUUGAAACACUUGAUUCAUUAAUUGUUGAAAAGUAGCUGGAGCAUUAGUUAGGCCAAAUGACAUGACCAACCAUUCAUAAUGUCCUUGAUGAGUUCUAACGACAGUCUUGUAUCUAUCUUCAGGUUUAACUAAGAUUUGAUGGUACCCAGACCUCAAGUCCAACUUAGAGAAAACUUUAGCACCAAAUAAUUCAUCUAAUAAUUCAUCAACAAUUGGCAUAGGGAAACUGUCCUUAAUUGUAAUGGCAUUUAAUGCUCUAUAGUCUGUGCAAAACCUCUAAGACCCAUAUUUCUUCUUUACUAAGAGAAUAGGCGAGGAGAAUGGACUAGUGCUAGGUUGUAUAAUACGCUCUUGCAACAUUUCUUGCGCCAUUUUUUCAAUCUCUGUUUUCUGGCUAUGAGCAUACCUAUAAGGUUUAACCUUGACUAGGUGGCUUCCUUCCAUCAAGGUUAUAGCAUGGUUUUGGCAUCUUUGAGGAGGCAGGCCUAUUGGUUUGUUAAAUACAUCCUUGUAUGUAGAAAGUAGCAAUGUUAAUUCUGGUGUCAAGUUCUGUGUAAGUGCAAGAAAAUCAUCAUAGUUUACAUUAUGGUCUUAUAAUUGCACUACAAACAGUACAUCAAUUGCAUUUGUGUGGUGCAUUCUUUUGAUGCGAUUAAAUUGUGUUUCUUGUGGAAGUGAUGGUUUAUUUCCCUAGAUAGUGAUAAAUUUGCCAUCCAACAAGAAUUUGAAAGCUAAGGAACUGUAAUCAGCAACAUGAGGUCUAAGUGUUGCUGACCAGACUGCUCCUAGAAUCAAAUAAGCCUCUGCCAUAGGUAGUAAGUACACUAGGACCUGCAAUUUAUAGCCCUGAACUUCAACUAGUAAGUCAGGAAUGAUGCCCUCAACAGCCAUAGAGUGGCCAUUGCCAACCAUGACCUGAAAUCUAGGUGCAGGUUCCACCAUUAAAUUCAGAAAUUGGGCAAUCCGUGGUUGUAGAAAAUUAUCUGAACUUCCACUGUCUAGGAGUAUCUAGACAGGAUAACCAUUGAUCUUGCCUUGAAACCUUAAAGUUCCCAAUCCACUUAUGCCUUUUAGUGCAUUAAAGGAUAAGUGGUGAUCAACAUUUGUGUGUAAUGUUGAUGUGUCAACCAGUUCUAACUCUUCAUGGUGCUCCACUAGUACAGGUUCAUCCUCUGAUUACAAAAUCAUGAAGUGUCUAUUAGGACAUCUAUGUUUGGGAGUGAAUUUUUCAUCACACAUGUAGCAUAGUCUUUUUUCUCUGUGAAUUUGCAUUUCUGUUUGAGUCAUUUUUUUGAUUGGGUGGGUUGAGGUGUUGCGGAAAUUUUGCUAAGGUGUUGGGAGAAGUGGUGGUUGAGAGUUGUGAAUUUUUGGAUAGGGUGGGUUAGUGUAUGUUGGGAAUGGUUUGUAAGUGGAUUUUGGUUUGGGGCUGUACUUUUCCUCAUACAAUUUGGCUAGUGCUACAGCUUUCAAAAGGGUCAAAGGAUUCUGAGCUACUACAUCUCAUUUAAUCUCAGGUUUAAGACCACUGAUAAAGCAAUCUAAGAUAACAUCAUUGCUCACCCCAUAAACUCUGUUGGCCAAUGCCAUGAACUCCACAUAAUAGUCAUUAACAGGGGUGUGUUGUGUUAAUUUGAAUAGAUUAGAUUUAUGAUAAUAACAAGGUGAUGGGCAAACUCAAAUUCUAGAGCCUUGGUGAAUGAUUUCCAAGUCUGAAAAGGUUGAGUGCGAGUAACCAUUUGGAACCAAGGAACCACGUCCUUGUCCAGGUGAAUGGUAGCAAUGGCAAUUCUAUGUUCAUCAGGUGUAUCAUAGAAAUCAAAAAAAUUGUUCUGCUUUAAAGAUCCAUUGUAAUACUUCAUGACCAUCAAAUCAAACUUAGGAAAUUCAACUUUGACAUUCCUUACUUGAAAUGGUUGUUUAGUGCAGGUUGGAGGGUCAACUUGAGGCUGAGAGAUUCCUGUGUGGUGAUGCUUGAUAAUCUCCUUGAGCUAACAAUGUAUUUCCAAUCUCUAAUGUCUGUGCUCAUCUCUUUCAUACAAGUAUUAUUAGCCAUUGUUGGAAGGAAUGAAAACACCAAUGUAAUAAUAAUGUUACUAUAGACACAAAAAGAUAGAAAAAAAUGAACACUGCUUAGAAUGAGAGUAACAACUUCUGCACUUUUAUUUAAUAUUAAGGACUCUAGUACAUACUACUAGAUCCAUGAGUACAACAAAAUAUUUUUAAUAAGGAAAAUAGGUAUAAUUGUAGUAUAGAAGGAAGGAGAUGAGAGAAGAAUAUUGAGAAUAGAAGGGAGAUGAGAAGUGAUCAGAGGAAGAAAAGAGGGUUCUGCAUCAUUCAUGCCCAAUUUCCACUUUCUUUUCUCCUUAUAUUCUUUUUUAUGUUACUGCCUUCACACAAAUUCCUUCAGCGGAGAAUUUGGUUUCUUUUCACGUGAGAUUGCCAUAUGCAUUGGCUCUAAUAACUUUUAUCUUUUUCUUCUUUUGGUAGUAUUCUCCCUCCUAGCAUGUUGCAUCAUUACAUUUCCUUGGAAAUUGGAAUCACACCCCAAAAGUAUAUUUAAAAAGCAUUCCUUAUACCAAAUAUUAGAUACAAAUCUUUUCACCAAUAUACUUCGAGUAAAACUUACUUCGACAACUCACCACCACGUCUUCCAUUUUAUUUCUUGUGUUGUUUAGUCAUUUUCUUUUAUCUUAAAACAUCUAAUUUCUAUUUUCCUUUUGACUAUUGUUUGACAGAUUAUUUAACCCUUUGUUAAAAUCUUACCAGGCCACUUUCAGGAAUGAAAAUCAGAUAACCAUUUGAUGUUUUUAUCCAAUUAAAAAGUGUCACUUAAUUAAAAAAGAAAAUUUAUAAAAACAUAAACUAAUAUUUUUGUAUUACUUGUUAAAAUUUGAUUGACAAGGGAAAUAAAAACAUGAUUUUUGGAGAAAUGUGAUAUUUGUUCAAAUUUCACAUACAUGAAAAUCCAAAGAGAGUUGGACAUACUCCCAAAUAUUAAAUCUAGAAUAUCACCCAUUAAGUAUUGGAAAAUACUUUGAUAAAAAUUUACCAUUCAUUUCAAUAUUGCAAGUCAAAUAAUCUAAUAAGCAAAUAUAUGACCCACAACAAUCGAGUUCUUGAUUAAACUCCAUCAUCAAUGUACAAAGAAGAGAUAAAAAAAUAAUUGAAUCUCAAUAUUAAAUUCACAAAUGUAUAUUACACCAUUCAUAACACAAAAUAACAUGAAAAUAAUUCAUGGCCACCCUACCAAUAAUUUAGGGUCCUUUAACUAAUUUCUCAAUUACAUGGCCUAAGCUUGAAACUUAAAAGAUAUACAUAUAUAUAGUAGAGUUAACCUUGAUUAACUUUUAAAGAUUGGUGAUUGAGGAACUUUUGAUGAAGGAGAGGGUUCCCCUUCAGAUGGUAAAUCCGAGAUGAAAGCCAGCAUCCUUCGAAUACUUACCGAUCGCGCAGGCUUGAAGCUGUUCGAUCUCUUCAUGUUCUUGGAGAAUAUGUUUGAUGAAUUGGAAAGGAUAAGGUACACUAAACCUUGGACUAGGAUGAACAUGGCCACCUUAAUCAACAUGUCACUUAAGAUGCUUUCCAUUUAAUCUAAGUUUUGUAUAUUAGUAUACAAAUAUAUGGAAUCUCUUGGGUUGUAAGGAAGCAAGAAUAUAAGAAAAGAAUUGAUGGGUUGAUGAUGAAUGAAUUGUA
rnacentral:lncRNA from 1 species